rnacentral:lncRNA from 1 species
AAUCAUUUCCCCUAUUUCACCCAACUUCUUUCAAAAGUUGAAAGAAAGGAAGAAAGAAGAGAGAAGAAGGAGAGACAGAGAGGACCUGCCCAUUAUUUGCAGGCAGCUUCAUCUGCUAGUCAUCCUCCCUUCCUGAGACCCUGGGAGGGCAGCAUCAGGCGUCCCUGGGCCCUCUGGCCGGCCCUGGAGGUGAAGGUGGUUUUCCUCCCAAACGGCUCUUGGAUCAUUGACCGGCCCCAUCACCUGACUGGAACCGUGGAAAAGCACAGUCGGCCUUUGGUCCAAACGCCAAAGUCAAAUCGGAACGCUCAGCCCCACCACAGCCUGCGGUCCCACCUGCAGCCCUCCCCUCCCGGCAAAGCAAAAAGUGAAACUAACCCGUGGCCGCAGCGCGCAGGGUCGGGGGCGCGCGCGGGGUCCCCGCUGCCAGCUCUCCGAAACCCGGCGGGGGCGCGUGGCGUCCACCCGGAGCAGAGGGGCCCAAGGAAGUCCGCGGGGCGAGGGGCAGGGGUGUCGUUCCCUAGCCCAGCCCGGCAGCCCGCCCCUCCUAGGGCGCCCCGGCCCCAGCCGCGCGCCCGGCUGCAGCGCCCCAGGCCGGCCGGCGAGGACGGGGCCAGGCUUGGGCCUGGCCGGCCGAGGCCCCGGAGGCUGGGAGGGAACCCACGGCCCGCCGUCCCCAGUCCCGGUCCUCCAGUCCUCCCGCAGGCCCCGCGCCCGGCGGAGCGCAGCCGGCCUGCUGCGCCGCGGGGCCCGGGUGGGGGCGAUCUGGGGAGGCAAGGGGGGCCGAUCUCGGGCGGCGGGGAGGGGGCCGACCUCGGGGACGCGCCGCUCACCUGCAGCCGCCGCCACCUGCUCCUCGCGCGCGUGGCCCCGGCGUCGCCUCCGCUCCGGGCCGCUCGGUCGCUGCGCUCCGGCCCUGGGCGCGCCCGGCCCUGCGUCGGGCCUCAGCGAGUGCGGCGCCCGCCGCCCCCGGCCCCCAUCCCGCCCCGCCCGGCCCGCCGCCCUCCGCCCUCGGCCGCGCCGCCCCGCCACUUCCUGUGCGCGGCGAUCCCACAGUUCCGCCGGCGCGCGGGGCGGCGGGGACACGCGGGGAGGGGACAUGGGACCUGCGGAGGGGACACAGGGCGGAGACCGGCCAGGGGGCCGCGGGAGUACUCGGGAGAGCGGGGAGGGAAUACGAGGGGGGAAGGGGAGCGGGGACACGCGGGGGGACACGGGGGUAAGCCAAGGGGACAGGGAGGUACCAGGGGACAGCGGGCGGAACACGGGACGCAGAGGGAGACAGGACGACAUGGGGUUGGCGGCCUGGCCGGACGCCGGCUGUGA